rnacentral:rRNA from 1 species
ACGGAAGGCAGCAGUGGGGAAUAUUGGGCAAUGGACGAAAGUCUGACGGAGCGACGCCGCGUGGAUGAUGAAGGCCGGAAGGUUGUAAAAUCCUUUUAUAACUGAGGAAUAAGCAGUGUGAGAGAAACGCAUUGUGGUGACUGUAGGUUAUGAAUAAGCAACGGCUAAUUACGUGCCAGCAGCCGCGGUAACACGUAAGUUGCGAGCGUUGUUCGGAAUUAUUGGGCGUAAAGGGCAUGUAGGCGGUUUUGCAAGCUUGGUGUGAAAUUCCGGAGCUCAACUCCGGAACUGCGUUGAGAACUGCAUAACUAGAGUCACUGAGGGGCAAUCAGAAUUCCUGGUGUAGGGGUGAAAUCUGUAGAUAUCAGGAAGAAUACCAAUGGCGAAGGCAGGUUACCAGCAGAUGACUGACGCUGAGGUGCGAAGGUGCGGGGAGCAAACAGGAUUAGAUACCCUGGUA